GUGGGGCCAGGCGGUGG
rnacentral:miRNA from 1 species